rnacentral:rRNA from 1 species
AUGAACGCUGGCGGCGUGCCUAAUACAUGCAAGUCGAGUGAACGGACGAGAAGCUUGCUUCUCUGAUGUUAGCGGCGGACGGGUGAGUAACACGUGGAUAACCUACCUAUAAGACUGGGAUAACUUCGGGAAACCGUAGCUAAUACCGGAUAAUAUUUUGAACCGCAUGGUUCAAAAGUGAAAGACGGUCUUGCUGUCACUUAUAGAUGGAUCCGCGCUGCAUUAGCUAGUUGGUAAGGUAACGGCUUACCAAGGCAACGAUGCAUAGCCGACCUGAGAGGGUGAUCGGCCACACUGGAACUGAGACACGGUCCAGACUCCUACGGGAGGCAGCAGUAGGGAAUCUUCCGCAAUGGGCGAAAGCCUGACGGAGCAACGCCGCGUGAGUGAUGAAGGUCUUCGGAUCGUAAAACUCUGUUAUUAGGGAAGAACAUAUGUGUAAGUAACUGUGCACAUCUUGACGGUACCUAAUCAGAAAGCCACGGCUAACUACGUG